ACAACAGCUGUGACCUUCAGCACUGCCUGGUCUUCUUCCACUUGGAGAACAAGAAGUGGCAGAUGGACAGAGGCAGUGGAAUGCUAUGGAGUGACAGUAAGGCAAGCUUACGUGCUGAGCAGGAUCGUAGCUUGAAGAUGGCUGAUACCCACAAUUGGAAGCUGGCUUAUGUCUAGAAAUGGACCUAGCAGAAGCUGGCAAAUGUUGUUAUUUAUACCUCUAUAAAAUGCUAUUCACAAUAAAGGAGUGAAAUGAAAGAUAAGAUAUCAGAAAAAAGGAAAAAAGAACAAAGAAAAAAUAAAGAAGUAAAAUAAAAAGAUCAUAGGUGAAAACUUUUAAAA